rnacentral:rRNA from 1 species
GACGAACCGUCCUAACGUUGUUCGGAAUCACUGGGCUUAAAGGGCGCGUAGGCGGCCUUGAAAGUCGGGGGUGAAGUCCCACGGCCUAACCGUGGAAGUGCCUCCGAUACUGCAAGGCUCGAGGGAGGUAGGGGCAGCUGGAACUUCCGGUGGAGCGGUGAAAUGCGUUGAUAUCGGAAGGAACGCCGGUGGCGAAAGCGAGCUGCUGGACCUCUGCUGACGCUGAGGCGCGAAAGCCAGGGGAGCAAACGGG